UUGGCUCCUGGGUUGACAUUUUCCUCUUCUGUUUCUCCACAAAAUAGUCAUAACAUGGGCAGUGCAAUCCCUCCAACCCUGCUUCAACCCUGACCUAUAAAAUGGGCAUAUGUAGGGGCUAGAGAGUUGUUCAGUCUCCAUGCUGUUCAGUCCUUGGCCUCU
rnacentral:sRNA from 1 species